rnacentral:rRNA from 1 species
CCAGGAUGUUGGCUUAGAAGCAGCCAUCAUUUAAAGAAAGCGUAAUAGCUCACUGGUCGAGUCGGCCUGCGCGGAAGAUGUAACGGGGCUAAACCAUGCACCGAAGCUGCGGCAGCGACGCUUAUGCGUUGUUGGGUAGGGGAGCGUUCUGUAAGCCUGCGAAGGUGGCCUGUGAGGGUUGCUGGAGGUAUCAGAAGUGCGAAUGCUGACAUAAGUAACGAUAAAGCGGGUGAAAAGCCCGCUCGCCGGAAGACCAAGGGUUCCUGUCCAACGUUAAUCGGGGCAGGGUGAGUCGACCCCUAAGGCGAGGCCGAAAGGCGUAGUCGAUGGGAAACGGGUUAAUAUUCCCGUACUUGGUGUUACUGCGAAGGGGGGACGGAGAAGGCUAUGUUGGCCGGGCGACGGUUGUCCCGGUUUAAGCGUGUAGGUGUGUGUUCCAGGUAAAUCCGGUUCACUUUAACACUGAGGCGUGACGACGAGGCACUACGGUGCUGAAGCAACAAAUGCCCUGCUUCCAGGAAAAGCCUCUAAGCAUCAGGUAACAUCAAAUCGUACCCCAAACCGACACAGGUGGUCAGGUAGAGAAUACCAAGGCGCUUGAGAGAACUCGGGUGAAGGAACUAGGCAAAAUGGUGCCGUAACUUCGGGAGAAGGCACGCUGACACGUAGGUGAAGUGAUUUACUCAUGGAGCUGAAGUCAGUCGAAGAUACCAGCUGGCUGCAACUGUUUAUUAAAAACACAGCACUGUGCAAACACGAAAGUGGACGUAUACGGUGUGACGCCUGCCCGGUGCCGGAAGGUUAAUUGAUGGGGUCAGCGCAAGCGAAGCUCCUGAUCGAAGCCCCGGUAAACGGCGGCCGUAACUAUAACGGUCCUAAGGUAGCGAAAUUCCUUGUCGGGUAAGUUCCGACCUGCACGAAUGGCGUAAUGAUGGCCAGGCUGUCUCCACCCGAGACUCAGUGAAAUUGAACUCGCUGUGAAGAUGCAGUGUACCCGCGGCAAGACGGAAAGACCCCGUGAACCUUUACUAUAGCUUGACACUGAACAUUGAGCCUUGAUGUGUAGGAUAGGUGGGAGGCUUUGAAGUGUGGACGCCAGUCUGCAUGGAGCCGACCUUGAAAUACCACCCUUUAAUGUUUGAUGUUCUAACGUGGACCCGUUACCCGGGUUGCGGACAGUGUCUGGUGGGUAGUUUGACUGGGGCGGUCUCCUCCUAAAGAGUAACGGAGGAGCACGAAGGUUGGCUAAUCCUGGUCGGACAUCAGGAGGUUAGUGCAAUGGCAUAAGCCAGCUUGACUGCGAGCGUGACGGCGCGAGCAGGUGCGAAAGCAGGUCAUAGUGAUCCGGUGGUUCUGAAUGGAAGGGCCAUCGCUCAACGGAUAAAAGGUACUCCGGGGAUAACAGGCUGAUACCGCCCAAGAGUUCAUAUCGACGGCGGUGUUUGGCACCUCGAUGUCGGCUCAUCACAUCCUGGGGCUGAAGUAGGUCCCAAGGGUAUGGCUGUUCGCCAUUUAAAGUGGUACGCGAGCUGGGUUUAGAACGUCGUGAGACAGUUCGGUCCCUAUCUGCCGUGGGCGCUGGAGAACUGAGGGGGGCUGCUCCUAGUACGAGAGGACCGGAGUGGACGCAUCACUGGUGUUCGGGUUGUCAUGCCAAUGGCACUGCCCGGUAGCUAAAUGCGGAAGAGAUAAGUGCUGAAAGCAUCUAAGCACGAAACUUGCCCCGAG